GGCUAACGUUGACUUGGUGUUGUGACGUAUAGAGGCGUUCAUGUGCGGUUUGUUGAUGGUGCGAAUUCUCUUUGACUAGGGAUCCAAAGAGGGUGCUAGACCCUUACGCAUUGUUGACUUUUCGUACGCGUUCGUUUCUUGGAGUAGGGUUGUUUUGGAUCGCAGCCCAAAGUAGGUGGUAUACUUCAUCUAAAGCUAAAUACGACUACGAAUCCGAUAGCAAACAAGUACCGUGAGGGAAAGUUGCAAAGUACUUUGAAGAGAGAGUUCAAGAGGACGUGAAACCGGUAGGGUGGAAGCAGAUAAAGUUGACGAACGUGUGUCGUAUUCAGAACUACAAUUUGUGGUUUGUUUUUACGAUCGAUGUGGGCUGGCGUCUUUGGUUAACUUAGUGUCUGGCGGCAAUGGUGACCCUGCGGAGGGAUAAUCGGUUGUCGUGCGAUGCUUGGUAUGGCUAGAGGUUCGCUGGUCUUAUAGUCAUCGCUUUAUCUGACCCGUCUUGAAACACGGACCAAGGAGUGCUUCGCUUACGCGAG
rnacentral:rRNA from 1 species